rnacentral:rRNA from 1 species
UACGUAGGGGGCAAGCGUUGUCCGGAAUCAUUGGGCGUAAAGAGCGUGUAGGCGGUUCUGUAAGUCGGCUGUGAAAGUCCAGGGCUCAACCCUGGGAUGCCGGUCGAUACUGCCGGACUAGAGUUCGGAAGAGGCGAGUGGAAUUCCCGGUGUAGCGGUGAAAUGCGCAGAUAUCGGGAGGAACACCUAUGGCGAAGGCAGCUCGCUGGGACGUUACUGACGCUGAGGAACGAAAGCCAGGGGAGCAAACGGG